rnacentral:rRNA from 1 species
AAUCAACGCUGGCGGCGCGCUUAACACAUGCAAGUCGAACGAGAAAGGGGGGCAACCCCCGAGUAAAGUGGCGUACGGGUGAGUAACACGUGGGUAAUCUGCCUCUGGGUGGGGAAUAACUCUGGGAAACCGGAGCUAAUACCGCAUAAGACCGGAAGGUGAAAGGCGAAAGUCGCCGAGAGAGGAGCCCGCGGCUGAUUAGCUGGAUGGUGGGGUAAAGGCUCACCAUGGCAAUGAUCAGUAGCCGGCCUGAGAGGGCACACGGCCACACUGGCACUGAAACACGGGCCAGACUCCUACGGGAGGCAGCAGUGGGGAAUCUUGCACAAUGGGGGAAACCCUGAUGCAGCGACGCCGCGUGAGCGAUGAAGCCCUUCGGGGUGUAAAGCUCUUUCGGCAGGGACGAUGAUGACGGUACCUGAAGAAGAAGCUGCGGCUAACUACGUGCCAGCAGCCGCGGUAAUACGUAGGCAGCGAGCGUUGUCGGAGUUACUGGCGU